rnacentral:rRNA from 1 species
GACGAACGCUGGCGGCGUGCCUAAUACAUGCAAGUAGAACGCACAGUUUAUACCGUAGCUUGCUACACCAUAGACUGUGAGUUGCGAACGGGUGAGUAACGCGUAGGUAACCUGCCUGGUAGCGGGGGAUAACUAUUGGAAACGAUAGCUAAUACCGCAUAAUAUUGAUUAUUGCAUGAUAAUUGAUUGAAAGAUGCUAUUGCAUCACUACCAGAUGGACCUGCGUUGUAUUAGCUAGUAGGUGAGGUAACGGCUCACCUAGGCGACGAUACAUAGCCGAACUGAGAGGGUGGUCGGCCACACUGGGACUGAGACACGGCCCAGACUCCUACGGGAGGCAGCAGUAGGGAAUCUUCGGCAAUGGACGAAAGUCUGACCGAGCAACGCCGCGUGAGUGAAGAAGGUUUUCGGAUCGUAAAGCUCUGUUGUAAGAGAAGAACGGGUGUGAGAGUGGAAAGUUCACACUGUGACGGUAUCUUACCAGAAAGGGACGGCUAACUACGUG